rnacentral:sRNA from 1 species
AACCUUGGCAUUCAAGGCAGAGAUCGCCAGGCAAGCAUCAGGCCAGACACUGGGAGUUAUCCUGAGAGCCUGGCCGCACGCUGACAGGGCCCCCCUUUGGGGACAGAAUUCCAAUUGCGGGCCGCGGCUGCCGCCUGGGAGAGGACGCUGCGCUCCGCCUCCGAGAGAAGGAAGAAGCAGGAAUGCAGGGGCUUCUGUGGGCUCCGUGCUUCCAGCCUUCUGGGAGAGAGAGGAAGACCCUUGGGCUCAGAACGAGCCGGUCUUCCUAGCUAGCCUCCGGCAAGGCUUCUAGAAGGGGAGGCUUGUCAGAGGAGCAGGACAGAUAGGGGUUGGGGACAUGGAAAGUUUUUAGCCUUUUUAUUUAAACUGCCGGGGGUCUUCUACUUCAGGUAAUGAGCUAUUCCCAGAGGAAAGCAAACUUGAUCCCCUAUCUCCAUUAAUGGAAGGAAAGUGGAUACUUAACUGCAUGUGGCCAGUGAGAUGCUGGCAAGGGUUUUUGCACCAAUGUGGGCUCCAGGGUCACAUCCAUGUGGGGGUCUCUAUGGGAGAGAUGAUGAAAAGGAAGGGAGCAAUUUUAGAACCACAGGGUCUCCCUCUGCAGGCUGGAGGGGGACACUCCAGAGUAGAGAGAAGACCUUUUAGAGAUAGAAGAAUCAGUGUGCCCACAGGAGCCCCAGAGAAAGAGCAACAAGUAUCCCCCACCCCCAUAUGGCUGUCAGGACUUUUUUGUGUUUAACAAAGGAAGACAGCUGGGUGCCCUGUAGGACUGGUUGAAUUCCAUUCUGUGUAAGGUGUGUGUGUGUGUGUGUGUGUGUGUGUGUGUGUGUGUGUGUGUGUGUGUGUGUGUUCUGUCCCAGGAUCUGCCAGAUGGAAUCACAGCUGGAGCUGUAGGUAAGAGAGAGGACAGGCUCUGGUUGGUCUUCUACCUCCUGCUUCCUAAAAAUCCCUUGUAAGUCAGGCCCCUGCUGGCUGAUAGGUGUGGCUUGCCAAGGAUCAAGUGGCUGGCAUCAGGGAUAAAUUCUCAUCAGGGUGAAAGGAAUUGUAAGUUAGAGUAGCCAACUUGAGCCACUUGGCCAAGCUGGGGCAGAGCCACACAGAGGCAAAUGUCUUGGAGAGCGAAGCUGGCAUCUCCAGGGCCUGCCAGGCUUAAGAAGGUGGAGAAAGGCGAAGCUGACAUCAUGCUCUUCUAGGCCAAUGGCCAUUCUGAGAUGGCGUUCUGACCCAUCCAGAUUCCUGCAAAGCCAGAUCCACUGAGAUGGUUCCCAGAAAGCAGUCUGAGGUGACAUGUGGAACAUGACCUUGUCAGUUUAUCAAUCGUGAAUGAUAUGACAUGACAGAAGGCAAAUGAUCAAGACUGGGGAGCCUUGUGCCUUUGCUAACCCAGAGUCCUGGUCUCAACAGGGCAUAGGCUUGUAAACCAGAGGGACCAAAACCAAGUCACCUUAGCAAGUGAACAUUCUUGAUUUUAUUGCCAUCCUACAGAUGAGAAAACUCCGCCACAAUGAACUGUUGUGUCCAAAUCACGGGACCAGUGAAAUGAGAGCUGGGACUUCAUCUGGACACUAUGUUGGCUUGGGGAAAGCAAGAGAGAACAAAAUACAUUGACCAACCUCAUGGCUCAAGGAAGGUGACUGGGGAACCAUUUAAAACUUACCAGGAUCUUAUUUGCCUCCGGAACUGCAUAUCUAAAAGCCAAGGUCAAACACACUCUGCCUUCUCUUCUGCUUCCUGUGCAUGACCCCAAAGAUGACCUCAGGUUGUUUGCACUCGGCUGCUCUCCUACUUGCCCCACUCAAAUCCAAUCCACGGAGCUCUGAUUGAGAAUGUUUGUGGACUCAGCUCCAGGGAGAAAAAGCCUAUAAGAUCAACAGGAAGCAUUGGGGAGGGAGAAGAUUGGAGAUGGUGGUCUUAUCCAGCUCUAUGACCAGGCCAAGGAUGACACUGUUCUUUCUACAAUGUUCCUGUGUUUGCCACAAUAUCAGGAAUCCCAGUUAAAGAGCAUUGGUUGAGUCCUGAGAGGGAAGUAACCACCCCACCUUCUCUUUGUACAGAUACAUGCAUAUGAGCGUGUGUCCUUACUUUCAUGUCUAAUGAAAUGAUGGAGUUAGUAAGGACUUACAGCUUAUGAAUUUGGGUCUGAAUCCUUUGCUAGAGCAGUGUGGAAAGAGGACAGUGAAUGAAGGACAUUCUCUCAUUGUCCAAUACACUGCGUCCACAGGGCUUUGCCUUUGAGGAGCCAAGACAUUGCGAUUGGAUGCUUCAUUCUCUGCAGGUCAGAGUCCAUGGAAGGACAUCUCUGUGUAUCAGGAGGACUAUAUCCCAGAGCCAUGCACAUACCCUGCCCCUUUUACCAGCAAGCAGGCCAGGCUUAAAGGGGCAAGGUAAUGAGACCACAGUCUCAACACUUGUGUGAGUGUGAACUUCAGAUAAGAGUCUAGGGUGACUGCUUCCUUCCCUAUGCCUUUGGAGACCUGGGGGUGUGUCUGUAAGGGUACAAUGCCUGGGAGAAGAAAUCAGUAUGUUUCCAUCCAGGACCCAACACACACUGGUCAUGUUACCUGAAGCAUGCUACUUAACUUGCCUUGCUUUGCUCAUCUGUAAGAUGGGGACAGUAUCAGCUCCAAUGUCAAAGGAUGGGUAGGUAUAAGUAACUAAGGUGGGAAAACCACUAAGUAUCUAAUAAAAGUUCUGGAAGAUGCCAUUAGCACCACCUCCAUUAUAGUUACUACUAUAAUGUGAAAAGAAGGUUUGACUGAGCUCCACCCUCUGCAUGCAUAUGAACGUUCUUGGUUUCCCACCAUACAUACCUCCAUGCAAACUGGGGAAGGCACAGCCACGAAUCCAGUACACAAGAGCACAGGGCAGUGGGGUUUGAAUAUUCGUAACUCAAGGUACAUAUGGGUGCCAGGGGAUAGGGUUCUCAUUCACAAUCAGUUUUGAGGGUAACUGAGAUGGGCAGGAAAACUUUGUUUUGGACAUUUGCCCCUUACAAAGCAGCGUUGGUGUAUCAAGAGCUCUGCUAGGACAUAACGCUCCUUAAGACGUGUUUGCAAACCCUGCUUUUACCUGUAUCUAACUGGAUUUCUGUUUUCUCCCAGGGGCAACAGGAUGCCUGCAGGCUCUUGCAGAUAUUUGGGGAUGGCCUUCAGAGGUUCUGAAAAUGGUCGCCCUCAUGCAGUCUGACCCAGAGAUAGUCACUCUUUCAUUUUCAGUGUGUUCUGUGAGGGCAGGAGUUCGGACUAGAGGCCUCAUUACCUCAUCACUCCUCAGUGCCUCUCACUAGAACCCUACCCUCCCUGAACACUGAACUCCUAUAACUGUAUUUCCACUACCCUAUGACCACAGUCAGAAGCCAAGCUGCCAACCACCUCUGUGGUAGGACUAAUUUCCCUGAGGUUGAUGGAGCAUGUCCCUUGUGUGACUACACUAAAGCAUGAGACAGACAAGAGAGGAGUCAGGCAGAUGCUUUGCAUGUAAGGAGCUGCCAGUUCAGUAAGCAAGACCAGGCUAUGACAGUUGAAGUCAGGUGUGUGGUAGAGCUGUACAUGAGCAAGAAUGAGGGGACUCAGAGUAGAAGGAGCAUCAGCUAUACUGUCCCUGUGCAAUGAGUGACAGCAGAGUGGUCUAUCACUGUGUCUAGUCGUUACCAGAUCCAUUCAAGGAUGACACUCAGGUGCUGAUAACUGUGUUAAGAAUCCAUGUGCAUCAUGAAAUUCAGUGAGAAUUUCCCUAGUUCAGUGCCAUUGAUACUUUGGGCUGGCUAAGUCUGUGAUGCAAGGGAUAUUGGAUAUACUGUGGGGAGUUUCACAGCACCCCUCAUGCUCACACCUCACUGCCUCAGUUGUACCAAUAAAAAAAUGUUCCCUGGAGGCAGUAUCACCACCAGCUGGAAACCACUGAGGGAAUGAACCCAUACAUAGCCUAGGGCUGGACGUAUAAUUAUUAUUCAUAGUGCACAGCUGUCUCUUCUCUAUUUGAGGUACAAGUAAAUUAAACCCUAGGUCCAAGGCCAUACAUCAAGGAAGGGCUGGGAAGAGUUGAUCUGGUUUACAGUCUGCAAGUUUGUUGUGUUCCUGCUUUGUCUGAGGAUGCUCAGUGAGCCCACAGGUACUGGGCUGGGAAAAUGGCUCAGUUGGUAAAGUGCUCAGCAUGCAAGCAUGAAGACCCAAGUUCUAAUCCCCUGGAUGCAUAUAAAGAGCUGGGCAUGGUGGUAAGAGCAUGUAGUCUCAGAUCUUGGUAGAUGGAGGGAGGUAGAUUCCCUAGGUUUCACUGGCAUCUAGCCAAGUUGCAUUGACAAAUUCCAGGCCAGUAAGAACCCUGGUUCACUAAACAAGGGGGGUGAGUCCUGAGGAAUGAUAUUCCAGGUUGACCUCUGGCCUCUCCACUCACGUAUAUACACCUAUACCUGCACCCUAUACCUGUCCCACAACCAUCUAACCAUCUUUUCCUGCAGGCCCCCACCCACAUUUUACAAAUGAGUGUGCUAAGUCCUGGACUAAUAGAAGAUCACCCCAAGUUACAGAGCAGGCAAACUGCCAGAGGCUAGACUUGGAUCCACGUCUUGUCAGGCUGCUCCCUGAGUCAAGUCAACACUGAUUAAAUGAUGGGAGGCAAGCAGGCGACUUAAUAAAAAAAAUGCAAAUCCAGGAUGAUGGAUAUAUUUAGGAGGAUGAAUUAUUAUGUGGUGGUAUAAAAAUAGAUCAGAGGAGAGCACGUGGACUUGCCAGCCUGGCUGUGUGAGAGACGGGAGGUUCAGGAAGAGCACCAGCGACAUUUCAUUAACUUUGCUGGGAAAACAUGGAGAGGCUGUCACCUGAAAACACAACAUUCACGGUGGCUCUUAAAGGAACAGUGCAUGAGGAGGAGGUGGACUCUUGAGUGGACGAGGAACUGCCGGUAAUUAUGCUGGGACCCUUGCCGCAAUGCCUGCUUCCAGAGCUACAGCUGCGCUCCAGAGAGAUCAUUAGUCGGUAUGCACAUGUUAUUGAGGGCAGUGGUGUCAUCGCCGGUUGAAGAUGCCCUCAGUCAAGUGUGAGAGCCGGAAAUGGAGGUCAAAAUAAUUAACCUCCUGUGAUUUUGUGCUCCUUGCAAAAUCAACCAUGUGCAGCUCAUAUUUCAGCAGAACAAUAUAAUCAUUUGUUCACAAGUCUCUCUCUUUCUCCCUUCCUCCCUCACUCGUCUUUCCUCCUUUCUGUCUCUCAAUCCAUCUCAUUGGCUAGCUUUUCUGUAUUCCCUUCCCACCCUAACAGCAGGCUGUCAUAACCCACUGCACCCAUAGGCAUCGCUGGAUAGGGCUUAGUACCCUCACCCAUUGCUGUCACACCGACUCUCUAAAGAACAGCAGAACGUGUUCCCUUUGUAAAAGCUUCUCUUGACCCCAUUUCAGUUCACCCACUCUCUCCUGCACCACACAGGAAUUAUGCAUCACUGUAGGAGUCACAGCCAAAGCAUCCACCAUCCACUCUACUUACGGAACACUCCUACCUGGCUGGUGGCAGCAUUACAAGGGGCCAGCCUGGGGUUGUAGAAAAGUCCAUGUGCAGAGAGGAGCUAAGGGUAUUUGCCAAGUUGUAAAGAACAAGAUGUUGAAUGAGGUGCCCUUCAGAGUGUGGGGUGUCUGAGCCUUCAUUCUGUUCCCUCAUUCAGCCAGCCAUCCUUUUCAUCCAGCAAUGUAUGCUAAAUGUUGAUCGCAUGGUAUAGGAUUCUCCACUGUGUGCAUUUUGUAACUGGUGUGAACCAUUUUAUUAAUUAAAGAUGUCAUUAUA